UCUACCUAUAUAGAUGAUUACAGAUAUUGUUAUAAGGACAAGUCUAGAGUGAGGUAAAUGCAAUGCCACUUUGAAUACACAGCUAAUAAAUUUAGGAAUAGGAUUUUUCUUUUUAACUUGUCAUGAAAAUAACACUAUUUUCUUUGGUUUCAGGUAACAGGAUGAAGAAGUGAUCUAAAGAGCCUGACUUCCCACCAUGAAAAAGAAGCCAAGAGGAGCUGCUGUGCUUGUUGUGAGGGUGGGGACUAGAGCUGGGCCUAGCACCCCUGUGGAACCUGGGCUCUGCAGAGCAGGGAAAAUUAAUUGGAGCACCAGAGACCCAUGCAGCUCUGCUAGGCCUCCCUCAGGGAUUCCUUGCCAUCUUAAAGCCUUAUUCAUGUUAAGAGUUCAGGGUUUUGAGGGUCACCUAGCCUCAAAAAGCACCACUAAGAGUGCUUGCCUAUUUGUAUGCUAUCUUGAUGUUAAAUUGUGCCUAUCCUUGCCUGUGACAGUAAAUCAGGCUGUUUCUGUCAUAGCGGGCUGUCCACCAUGCAGUGAACACUACCUAACCUUAUUCUAUGACAAGCCAUGUUUACUAAUCUACCAACCUUAAGGAGGGUAUUUGAUGCCUGUGUCUUGCUGCAUGUGUCUAUGAUUGUUUCUGUCUGAAAUCUCACUUCAUUCUUUAAGAAUCCUGUGUAAUAAAGUUUGUAUUGAAGGCUUCUGUUUCCAUAAUGGAAUCUCUUGUAUUAGACAAAUCCUUCUGCAGUAAAUGAGUGUAAAGCUCAACAGAAUCGGUAAGACAGUACAUUGAAGGCAUUGGAGAGUAACCAACAUAGGACAUAAGAGGGGUUAUGAUCCUUUAUAGAGGAGGACUUUAUAAGAGUUUAUAAC